ACCACAACAAAAUACACACCUUUUUUUCUGAUGUAUGGAAGAGAGGCAGUAUUUCCAUCAGAAGUGCCUGCUCAAGUGCCGUGAAGUGGCUUUGGGCUGCAAAAGACACCGGGCGUGUGGAGGCAGUCGUUGGGCCAUACAAAUUGUAUGACUCUUCUUUUCGCACACUGGAGGACAGUGGGUGGCUUUCUGAUGAGGUCAUUGAUGCAUACCUGCACUGCCU